rnacentral:rRNA from 1 species
GACGAACGCUGGCGGCGUGCCUAAUACAUGCAAGUUGAGCGCUGAAGGUUGGUACUUGUACCGACUGGAUGAGCAGCGAACGGGUGAGUAACGCGUGGGGAAUCUGCCCUUGAGCGGGGGACAACAUUUGGAAACGAAUGCUAAUACCGCAUAAAAACUUUAAACACAAGUUUUAAGUUUGAAAGAUGCAAUUGCAUCACUCAAAGAUGAUCCCGCGUUGUAUUAGCUAGUUGGUGAGGUAAAGGCUCACCAAGGCGAUGAUACAUAGCCGACCUGAGAGGGUGAUCGGCCACAUUGGGACUGAGACACGGCCCAAACUCCUACGGGAGGCAGCAGUAGGGAAUCUUCGGCAAUGGACGAGAGUCUGACCGAGCAACGCCGCGUGAGUGAAGAAGGUUUUCGGAUCGUAAAACUCUGUUGGUAGAGAAGAACGUUGGUGAGAGUGGAAAGCUCAUCAAGUGACGGUAACUACCCAGAAAGGGACGGCUAACUACGUGCCAGCCGCCGCGGUAA